GAUGAACGCUGGCGGCGUGCCUAAUACAUGCAAGUCGAGCGAACAGACGAGGAGCUUGCUCCUCUGACGUUAGCGGCGGACGGGUGAGUAACACGUGGAUAACCUACCUAUAAGACUGGGAUAACUUCGGGAAACCGGAGCUAAUACCGGAUAAUAUAUUGAACCGCAUGGUUCAAUAGUGAAAGACGGUUUUGCUGUCACUUAUAGAUGGAUCCGCGCCGCAUUAGCUAGUUGGUAAGGUAACGGUUUACCAAGGCAACGAUGCGUAGCCGACCUGAGAGGGUGAUCGGCCACACUGGAACUGAGACACGGUCCAGACUCCUACGGGAGGCAGCAGUAGGGAAUCUUCCGCAAUGGGCGAAAGCCUGACGGAGCAACGCCGCGUGAGUGAUGAAGGUCUUCGGAUCGUAAAACUCUGUUAUUAGGGAAGAACAAAUGUGUAAGUAACUAUGCACGUCUUGACGGUACCUAAUCAGAAAGCCACGGCUAACUACG
rnacentral:rRNA from 1 species